AAUUGGACAGGGGUCCCCUCCAGCCCUGUGCACGAGAGGAUGACAGGACCCGGGUGGACGACAGGACCCGGGUGGACGAGGGUCCCAGGAGAAGCGCGGAGCGGCCCCGGGUCGUGGGCUCGGCCCUAGCGCGCUCUCCCGCCUCACGCCCCUGUUCCACCCCCAGACCAGGAUCGUGCUGAUUCUCCCCCUGGACAAGCGGCAGCCGCUGGCCAACGCUGGGCAACGGAUUGACUACGCGUCCGGCGCUGGGCUGGGCUCCCCGGCGGCACCCAGAUUGCGCGGAGCGGGCGAAGGUAGCGAGCGCGAGCCGAGGAUGCCGGUACUGCUGCUGCUGCGGCGGCAAGAGGCGCGGCGGCCGGAAGAGGGCGGGGCCAGGGCAGCUCUGAGCUGGCCGCGGCUGCUCUCGCGCUUCCGGUCCCCGGGGAAGGCUCCCCGCGAAGCCGGCCCCGCCGAGGAGCAGCCGCGCAAACGGUGCCGCUGCCCUCGCCCGCAGCUUUAAACGCUUGGCCCGGACCCCGCCCAAUAAAGAGUGCGUGGCAACCCUGGCGCCUGCGAACCCUGUCGGAGGCGUCUGGGCGCGGAGUCGGGGUGGGCAAAGCUCAGCCUAGGAGCCGCAGAGGGGUGAACGGGGCGUGAUGAAGGCAGAGCCAUCGCCACGGUCUGGAGCCAGGGCUGUCUUUUGCUUUCUCCUUCCUUGUGCCAAGGGUCAGAACAGAACCCCAAACCUUGCUACAGUGGCGGGAGGCAGUUUCCUUCCCCCAACACUCCAAAUCCAGGUCACAUCCUGCCCAGUCUGCAGGCUCAAGGGAGGUGGGCUUGGGCAAACCCAGGCUUGGCCACGCUAGUGAGAGGGACCUGCUUCCGGUAAAGCCUGACAUCCCCCCAGCAUCCAGAAAUCCCUCUUAGGCAUGAGGGAGGGUUCCCGGCCAACAGGCACCAUCCUGGGUAAGAACAGCCAGGAUGGCAGUCAGCUGGGGCAAGGCCUGAGACGUGGAUUCUGCCUGGGGACGCACCCAGGAGAAGCUGGAAGCCCUGGGCCUCUCUCUGGCCCCUCACUCCUACACAUUGUGCUUGGUAACCCCAAAGCAUUCAGGCCCCCCAGUCUUCCCCAAGGCACCUGUCUCCCAACCUACCCUGUCCCAUCUCCUUCCCCACGUGACAAAGACUAAUUCCAAACCACUUACCUGUCUAGGGCAGCUCACUCCCCUGCUCAUAAGCUUUCAACAGGUCUCCAUUACCAACAGGGAAAAAGCCCACAGCUUCAGUCUCACUCCCCAAAUCACUUAGAAGAAGCCCUGCCACACUUUCUGUGGGCGGGAUCCUGCUGCUGCUUCUCCUCACUCUCCCGGGUCCCAAAUCCAGCUCCACACCCAAUGCCACCCCUGGCCUGCCAAACCUGCAGCCCGCCUUCCUGCCACACUCUGGUGACCAACCUCAGGAUGCCCUCUUUUGGGGGCAGAUGCAGCAGGACUGAAGUCCCAGCUCACUACAGCCAUCAGCCCAGCUUCUGCUGAAGAUGCACUUUUGUCACCGCCACCAGGAUGAACAUCUCCUCCACCUUGCCUGCACCAGGCUGGAGGCUGCAAGAGCUAUAACAUCACUCCUGCUAAUUGUGAGAACUGACUCUUCCCUACCAUCCACAUGGUUACAAUCAGGGUAACCAUGUUCUUCCAUGGGGCUGCACCUCCUGCCCAUACAGUGAUUGGCCCAAGCUGGUCCUGUCAGCCCCUCCCCCUAGGACUGUGAUUCAGGAGCUGUAAGAGACCAUGUUCUCUACUUGAACAUGCACAGGCUAAGCCAGCCUUCAGAAUAAAAACACAAUGCAGGCCAAGCGCAGUGGAUCACGCCUGUAAACCCAGCACUUUGGGAGGCUGAGGCAGGCAGAUCACGAGGUCAGGAGAUCGAGACCAUCCUGGCUAACACGGUGAAACCCCGUCUCUACUAAAAAUACAAAAAACUAGCCAGGCAUCAUGGCGGGCGCCUGUAGUCCCAGCUACUCGGGAGACUAAGGCAGGGGAAUUGAACCCAGGAGGCAGAGGUUGCAGUGAGCUGAGAUCACACCACUGCACUCCAGCCUGGGCAAGAGAGCGAGACUCCAUCUCAAAAAACAAACAACACAAUGCAGUGCACAUCCUGGGUUCCCCACAGCCCCGCAGUCAGAUUCUGUUCCUGAAACCUGAUUUCACCCUUGCUCUUGAUAUCCAUAACAUGUAAGAUCCUUUCAAUAAAGUCCUUAUUUUGGGUUACAUUC
rnacentral:lncRNA from 1 species